rnacentral:rRNA from 1 species
UACGUAGGGUGCAAGCGUUAAUCGGAAUUACUGGGCGUAAAGCGUGCGCAGGCGGUGAUGUAAGACAGUUGUGAAAUCCCCGGGCUCAACCUGGGAACUGCAUCUGUGACUGCAUCGCUGGAGUGCGGCAGAGGGGGAUGGAAUUCCGCGUGUAGCAGUGAAAUGCGUAGAUAUGCGGAGGAACACCGAUGGCGAAGGCAAUCCCCUGGGCCUGCACUGACGCUCAUGCACGAAAGCGUGGGUCGCGAAUGGG